ensembl:scaRNA SCARNA13 small Cajal body-specific RNA 13
GAUCUGUAGUCUUGGAGCCGCCCUGGGUUGGUGGUACCCUAGAGCACACCAGACUUGCAGAAAAAGCAUACUCCAGAGGAAGCUGAGGCAUGACUGCUCAAGAGCCAGCCGUUCUAUGUGCAAUUUUCCUCUGAUAGUUCCUGGGUGCUGUUGCCACGGUGAUAAUGACCGCGCGGUGUCAUUAUCUAUCGACCGACAGCAAGAGAAGCCUUGCAGUCGAGAUAUUGUUUAACAGACAGAGUGGUUUCUGUUGGACACUGAGUACUGCUACAUUU